rnacentral:rRNA from 1 species
GGGGAAUAUUGCACAAUGGGGGAAACCCUGAUGCAGCGACGCCGCGUGGAGGAAGAAGGUCUUCGGAUUGUAAACUCCUGUUGUUGGGGAAGAAAAUGACGGUACUCAACAAGGAAGUGACGGCUAACUACGUGCCAGCAGCCGCGGUAAAACGUAGGUCACAAGCGUUGUCCGGAAUUACUGGGUGUAAAGGGAGCGCAGGCGGGAAGACAAGUUGGAAGUGAAAUCCAUGGGCUCAACCCAUGAACUGCUUUCAAAACUGUUUUUCUUGAGUAGUGCAGAGGUAGGCGGAAUUCCCGGUGUAGCGGUGGAAUGCGUAGAUAUCGGGAGGAACACCAGUGGCGAAGGCGGCCUACUGGGCACCAACUGACGCUGAGGCUCGAAAGUGUGGGUAGCAAACAGGAUUAGAUACCCUGGUAGUCCACACCGUAAACGAUGAAUACUAGGUGUUGGAGGAUUGACCCCUUCAGUGCCGCAGUUAACACAAUAAGUAAUCCACCUGGGGAGUACGACCGCAAGGUUGAAACUCAAAGGAAUUGACGGGGGCCCGCACAAGCAGUGGAGUAUGUGGUUUAAUUCGACGCAACGCGAAGAACCUUACCAAGUCUUGACAUCCCUUGACGAUGCUGGAAACAGUAUUUCUCUUCGGAGCAAGGAGACAGGUGGUGCAUGGUUGUCGUCAGCUCGUGUCGUGAGAUGUUGGGUUAAGUCCCGCAACGAGCGCAACCCUUAUGGUCAGUUACUACGCAAGAGGACUCUGGCCAGACUGCCGUUGACAAAACGGAGGAAGGUGGGGAUGACGUCAAAUCAUCAUGCCCUUUAUGACUUGGGCUACACACGUACUACAAUGGCGUUAAACAAAGAGAAGCAAGACCGCGAGGUGGAGCAAAACUCAGAAACAACGUCCCAGUUCGGACUGCAGGCUGCAACUCGCCUGCACGAAGUCGGAAUUGCUAGUAAUCGUGGAUCAGCAUGCCACGGUGAAUACGUUCCCG